rnacentral:rRNA from 1 species
GACGAACGCUGGCGGCGUGCUUAACACAUGCAAGUCGAACGAGCGGCGGACGGGUGAGUAAUGUCUGGGAAACUGCCUGAUGGAGGGGGAUAACUAAUGGAAACGGUAGCUAAUACCGCAUACCAUCAGAUGUGCCCAUAUGGGAUUAGAUAGGAGGUGGGGUAAAGGCUCACCUAGGCGACGAUCCCUAGCUGGUCUGAGAUGAUGACCAGCCACAGUGGAACUGAGACACGGUCCAGACUCCUACGGGAGGCAGCAGUGGGGAAUAUUGCGCAAUGGGGGCAAGCCUGACGCAGCCAUGCCGCGUGAAUGAAGAAGGCCUUCGGGUUGUAAAGUUCUUUCGGUAUUGAGGCGUUAAAUACAGAAGAAGCACCGGCUAACUCCGUGCCAGCAGCCGCGGUAAUAC